UCCUACGGGGCGCAGCAGUGGGGAAUAUUGGUCAAUGGGCGCAAGCCUGAACCAGCCAUCCCGCGUGAAGGAAGAAGGCGCUAUGCGUUGUAAACUUCUUUUCCAGGGGAAGAAUGUUCUGCACGAGUGCGGAAUUGACGGUACCUUGGGAAUAAGCAUCGGCUAACUCCGUGCCAGCAGCCGCGGUAAUACGGAGGAUGCGAGCGUUAUCCGGAUUUAUUGGGUUUAAAGGGUGCGUAGGCGGAUUGGUAAGUCAGUGGUGAAAUACUGCAGCUUAACUGUAGAAUUGCCGUUGAUACUGUCAGUCUUGAGUAUGGUUAAGGUAGGCGGAAUGUGUAAUGUAGCGGUGAAAUGCUUAGAUAUUACACAGAACACCGAUUGCGAAGGCAGCUUACUGAACCAAAACUGACGCUGAGGCACGAAAGCGUGGGGAGCGAACAGGAUUAGAUACCCUGGUAGUCG
rnacentral:rRNA from 1 species